rnacentral:sRNA from 2 species
CCACAGCUUGGUCAUCAAACUAUAGUUCGGUCAAAUUUCACUCUCCAAACUGACUGACUUGCUUUCAAGCGCUUUAGAUCAAACUUGAAAUGUGAAUUUUCUGGUUUGCAAUUUGAUAUCUGUCGGUGGAUUUCUUCUCAAUACCGUAACUGCACCAGCAGCCGUGGUGGAAGAUAUUUUGCCUGUGACCUAUGCAAAGACAGAUUUAGGCGCAAGUCGUCAAUUUAACCCAUUUCCACUCUAGGAGUGUUUGAAGAGGAUUGAUUUACUUGACGGUUUACAAACCCAGGAGCUGGAAGCUACGAGUACUACUACCUGACCAGUUGAGAGUUGGAAUUGCGGAACCCCAUCGAUCGAUUGUUAGCAGG